rnacentral:rRNA from 1 species
UACGAAGGGGGCUAGCGUUGUUCGGAAUUACUGGGCGUAAAGCGUGCGCAGGCGGUUUUGUAAGCCAGAUGUGAAAUCCCCGGGCUUAACCUGGGAAUGGCAUUUGGGACUGCAAGGCUUGAGUGCGGCAGAGGAGACUGGAAUUCCUGGUGUAGCAGUGAAAUGCGUAGAUAUCAGAAGGAACACCGAUGGCGAAGGCAGGUCUCUGGGCUGACACUGACGCUCAUGCACGAAAGCGUGGGGAGCAAACAGG